rnacentral:lncRNA from 1 species
GAUGAAAACUUGGUAAGACCAUAUGGUUUAUUUUCUACAAUUCAAGAUUGUAUUGGUGCAUCCAUCGCAUGGCCCUAUCCAUUCAUCUCGGUAGUCCAUGAGGAUUGAGGACGCAUGAUGACUCAAGAUUUUAUGCUUCUUAUUUCUUUAAUUGCAUUUAAUUUCUUUGUUAAAUGUUAAGACUUUAUGUUAGAUAAUGUUAUAACUUAUUUAUGGUUAGUGUUUUUGUUAUGAACAUGCUUAUUUGAAAUAUAAUGAAGUUUUAUUUCUU